rnacentral:rRNA from 1 species
ACGGGAGGCAGCAGUGAGGAAUAUUGGUCAAUGGACGAGAGUCUGAACCAGCCAAGUAGCGUGCAGGAUGACGGUCCUAUGGGUUGUAAACUGCUUUUGUACGGGAAUAAAGUGACCUACGUGUAGGUUUUUGCAUGUACCGUAAGAAUAAGGACCGGCUAAUUCCGUGCCAGCAGCCGCGGUAAUACGGAAGGUCCGGGCGUUAUCCGGAUUUAUUGGGUUUAAAGGGAGCGUAGGCCGUGCUUUAAGCGUGUUGUGAAAUGUAGGCGCCCAACGUCUGCCCUGCAGCGCGAACUGGAGCACUUGAGUACGCAGGAAGUAGGCGGAAUUCGUCGUGUAGCGGUGAAAUGCUUAGAUAUGACGAAGAACUCCGAUUGCGUAGGCAGCUGACCAAGCCGUAAAUGACGCUCAUGCACGAAAGUGCGGGGAUCGAACAGGAUUAGAUACCCUGGUA